rnacentral:tRNA from 1 species
GCAUUAAUGGGGUAGUGGUAACCUGGGUCGUUGCCAUUCGAGCUGAAGCUCGACCCGCCGGGGGUUCGAUUCCCUCUUAAUGCA